rnacentral:lncRNA from 1 species
CCGCCGCGCCGCCGUCGCUCUCCAACGCCAGCGCCGCCUCUCGCUCGCCGAGCUCCAGCCGAAGGAGAAGGGGGGUAAGUAAGGAGGUCUCUGUACCACGGCUCCUACAAAGCGGACUGCCCGCAAACCGACCAGUGGUAAGCACCCAGGAAGCAACUGGCUACAAAAGCCGCUCGCAAGAGUGCGCCCUCUACUGGAGGGGUGAAGAAACCUCAUCGUUACAGGCCUGGUACUGUGGCGCUCCGUGAAAUUAGACGUUCAGAAGUCCACUGAACUUCUGAUUCGCAAACUUCCCUUCCAGCGUCUGGUGCGAGAAAUUGCUCAGGACUUUAAAACAGAUCUGCGCUUCCAGAGCGCAGCUAUCGGUGCUUUGCAGGAGGCAAGUGAGGCCUAUCUGGUUGGCCUUUUUGAAGACACCAACCUGUGUGCUAUCCAUGCCAAACGUGUAACAAUUACGCCAAAAGACAUCCAGCUAGCACGCCGCAUACGUGGAGAACGUGCUUAAGAAUCCACUAUGAUGGGAAACAUUUCAUUCUCAAAAAAAAAAAAAAAUAUCUUCUUCCUGUCAUUGGUAGUACUGAACGUUAGAUAUUUUUUUCCAUGGGGUCAAAAGGUACCUAAGUAUAUGAUUGCGAGUGGAAAAAUAGGGGAUAGAAAUCAGUUAUGGAGGCUGAGAAGUCCAACGUCAAGGGGAUACAUCCAGUAGCUUGUGG